rnacentral:misc_RNA from 1 species
AAAUGCGAUAAGUAAUGUGAAUUGCAGAAUUCAGUGAAUCAUCGAAUCUUUGAACGCACCUUGCGCUCCUUGGUAUUCCUUGGAGCAUGCCUGUUUGAGUAUCAUGAAAUCUUCAAAGUAAAUCUUUUGUUAACUCAAUUGGUUUCUACUUUGGUAUUGGAGGUCUUUGCAGCUUCACACCUGCUCCUCUUUGUUCAUUAGCUGGAUCUCAGUGUUAUGCUUGGUUCCACUCGGCGUGAUAAGUUAUCUAUCGCUGAGGACACUGUAAAAGGUGGCCAAGGUAAAUGCAGAUGAACCGCUUCUAAUAGUCCAUUGACUUGGACAAUACUUUUAUGAUCUGAUCUCAAAUCAGGUAGGACUACCCGCAGAACUUAAGC